AUGAACGCUGGCGGCGUGCGUUAACACAUGCAAGUCGAGCGAGAAGACUUUGACAGAUCCUUCGGGUGAUGGAAAGUUGGAAAGCGGCGGACGGGUGAGUAACGCGUGGGCAACCUGCCCCCGUACAGAGGGAUAGCCACUGGAAACGGUGAUUAAUACCUCAUAAGACCACAGCGACACAUGUCGCAGGGGUAAAAACUCUGGUGGUACGGGAUGGGCCCGCGUCUGAUUAGCUAGUUGGUAGGGUAACGGCCUACCAAGGCGACGAUCAGUAGCCGACCUGAGAGGGUGAUCGGCCACACUGGAACUGAGACACGGUCCAGACUCCUACGGGAGGCAGCAGUGGGGAAUAUUGCACAAUGGGCGAAAGCCUGAUGCAGCAACGCCGCGUGAACGAAGAAGGCCUUCGGGUUGUAAAGUUCUUUUCUUGAAGAAGAAUAAAUGACGGUAUUCAAGGAAUAAGCCCCGGCUAACUACGUG
rnacentral:rRNA from 1 species